rnacentral:rRNA from 1 species
CACGGGGGAGCAAGCGUUGUUCGGAAUCACUGGGCGUAAAGGGCGUGUAGGCGGUCAGGUAAGUGAGAUGUGAAAUGCCCCGGCUCACCGGGGACCGGCAUCUCAUACUGCUUGGCUUGAGUACGGGAGAGGAUGUGGGAAUUCCUGGUGUAGCGGUGAAAUGCGUAGAUAUCAGGAGGAACACCGGUGGUGUAGACGGCUUCUGGACCGUAACUGACGCUGAGACACGAAAGCGUGGGUAGCAAACAGG